GUCGUCCAGUGAGUGUGGUAUAGCGGUGACGGGUGACAACCCAUUCGGGAGGAGAUUAGAGGAGUAGCCUAGUCUUCUUAGGGUCGCUUAGGUCCCUUUCUUCUGAGGGAGGCUCAGGGCAGGCUCUGCGUCUCACAGUCGAGGCUGGGGCUCGCCUACCGCAGCGGCGGCCUCCCCCACCUCGGCCGCCACUAGGUGCGCACCAGCCGCGGCGCGAGGGAGUCGUGGUCGGAGUACAUGAGGAAGAGGCUCUCCCUACUGUACCUACACGAACUGCUCGGAGAGAUGCGAUUAAAGGACGCACAGUGGCCGCAACUGUCCGGGAUGGCGGUCCUCGAAGAGAGAUUUUACCUAGGUCUACCGUUGUUUCAACAGUUUCUUCACUAAAAACCUGGUCCUCUCUUUCGUAUAGCAAUGACGUUCGUGUAACGCUUCGUCGCGGAGGGAUUAGAGUGUCCACUGGACUACUUCUUCCCUUUUGUAAAGUAUAAUUAUGCAUUAGGAUACUUAUAGGACGGUAGUAAACUAUUUCAACAAGGUGGUAGGAAGGACCUCGAGCCACAUCGUCUUGAACAACGUUAUAUGUCACUCAACACACUCGAACCCUCGGGAGGUGGACACUAUCUACGUCUACUAGAGGCUUCUCUAGGACUCCGGCAGAACUCACCUGAGACACUCCUGGACCUACCUUUCGACCGGGUUCCCUUGAAACUACCAUAAACCCGGGGGACCACCAUACUUUCACAUGUAUGUAGAUGUCCGAAGAGCUUUAGGGCAGCAAUGGGAUACUGAAAAGGUAAACGUAAAAUACUGGAUGAACUCGUUUCGAACGGGAAGAUGUUAUACGACUUCGCGGUCCAUGCCUCUUGUUGUCCUAGGGACGACGGUGGUGGUGGACUAGGAGGAGAAGGACAUGGUCUUUUAUUUUUUUAAGAACAAACCCAACCUCUACUUGAAAACGGUGCACUAUCACGUUCCCAAAGUCACAAGCUAAGUCAACAUGUUCCUCCCCUACGACACACCCUUCCUAACGCAUAUAUACUACCCUUUCAUAAGUUUGAACUUCUUGUGAACCUAUCUAACAAACUAAGAUGUUUUCGAUACCGGAAGUCGUUACACGGGUCAGCACUAACCUAAUUCCUACGUUAUAAAUUCUGAGAAUUGCGUUUACCCUACAAGUUAUUACGUGUAUAUUCCGAGUGAGAGUGGGCACCCUUCUUCCACUGUAGACCUUACUCAGGUCGAAAGUUAGAUAUACCCACACAGAACUAACUCACCUUUGGUGGUCAAAUACUAUUGAGUGUACCCUAUUUCAACCAUUGACGGUGGUGCGCAGCAUUAAGAGGUUUAUCGCAUCUAAGCUUCUAUGUAGUGUUGUUAGAAUAAUUGUUGUAAGACCGUUUCUAUCUUCCAUUAGAACGUGUCCGACUCCUACGAUAGUACGAUCUAGUUCUACCAAAACAUAGUCUUUGUUUACGUUGUUUGUAUAAAUACCAAUUCUUCCCGUAACAUAACUGUGGAGUACGCCUGAUGACGGAAGGUCCUUAAUGGGCACGUUGACAGUACCUAGAACAACACUUUCUUUUGGACCAUAAUGUACUUGCCGCUUAAUCAGAUAGACUUAAAGUACGACGUCUACUCCACACCUGUUGGCCUUGUUACCCACUUUAAUGUGGCCAGCACUACUAACUGCCGGCACUUUAACCACUACCCUUUUAGCCAGGCCAGUGUUCUGUUUAGGUCUCGCGUAUGUUUCAGGACUGUCGUCCCAAUCCUCAUGGUUAAGGGUCCUUACGCCUCCGUAUUAGUAAACACGUCUGUAAGAAGAAAAGGAAAACUUUUCCUCUUCCGUGGACAAUAGAUACCUGUUUGAAAGUCCCAAGUCAAAGCUCAUUACUAUUAUUUAUGAGGGAGGCAGGGCUUAAUGAACAGCAUCUUUACCCAUUUUUAACUACAUAGAUCUUGAUUUUAUGCAGAUCUAUGUAGAUAAAGAGGCUGUCCAUAAAGGCCUACCUCCCUCAUCAUCGAUCGCAAGUUUCUUCGUGGGUCACUUUCACCGUGUAGCCUGUCUUUUGACUCAUAAGCUUUUAUGACCAACCCAGACACUUAAGUACUAAAUCACACACGGACACACGCGGCUUUGGACAAGGUACAGUAAACCUUCGACACCGACCAGGACCUGUAUCUUGUCUUUUACCUUACAAUAUACGCCAAAAUAAAAGACGAACUAAAAGAAGC
rnacentral:rRNA from 1 species